rnacentral:rRNA from 1 species
UACAGAGGUCUCAAGCGUUGUUCGGAUUCAUUGGCGUAAAGGGUGCGUAGGCGGCGCGGUAAGUCGGGUGUGAAAUUUCGAGGCUUAACUUCGAAACUGCAUUCGAUACUGCCGUGCUUGAGGACUGGAGAGGAGACUGGAAUUUACGGUGUAGCGGUGAAAUGCGUAGAUAUCGUAAGGAAGACCAGUGGCGAAGGCGGGUCUCUGGACAGUUCCUGACGCUGAGGCACGAAGGCCAGGGAGCAAACGGG